rnacentral:rRNA from 1 species
UCCGUAGGUGGCAAGCGUUGUCCGGAAUUAUUGGGCGUAAAGCGCGCGCAGGUGGUUUCUUAAGUCUGAUGUGAAAGCCCACGGCUCAACCGUGGAGGGUCAUUGGAAACUGGGGAACUUGAGUGCAGAAGAGGAAAGUGGAAUUCCAAGUGUAGCGGUGAAAUGCGUAGAGAUUUGGAGGAACACCAGUGGCGAAGGCGACUUUCUGGUCUGUAACUGACACUGAGGAACGAAAGCCAGGGGAGCAAACGGG